AGAGUUUGAUCCUGGCUCAGGACGAACGCUGGCGGCGUGCUUAACACAUGCAAGUCGAACGGAAAGGCCCUUCGGGGUACUCGAGUGGCGAACGGGUGAGUAACACGUGGGUGAUCUGCCCUGCACUUUGGGAUAAGCCUGGGAAACUGGGUCUAAUACCGAAUAUGACCACGCGCCUCCUGGUGUGUGGUGGAAAGCUUUUGCGGUGUGGGAUGGGCCCGCGGCCUAUCAGCUUGUUGGUGGGGUAAUGGCCUACCAAGGCGACGACGGGUAGCCGGCCUGAGAGGGUGACCGGCCACACUGGGACUGAGAUACGGCCCAGACUCCUACGGGAGGCAGCAGUGGGGAAUAUUGCACAAUGGGCGCAAGCCUGAUGCAGCGACGCCGCGUGAGGGAUGACGGCCUUCGGGUUGUAAACCUCUUUCAGCACAGACGAAGCGCAAGUGACGGUAUGUGCAGAAGAAGGACCGGCCAAAUACGUGCCAGCAGCCGCGGUAAUACGUAGGGUCCGAGCGUUGUCCGGAAUUACUGGGCGUAAAGAGCUCGUAGGUGGUUUGUCGCGUUGUUCGUGAAAACUCACAGCUUAACUGUGGGCGUGCGGGCGAUACGGGCAGACUUGAGUACUGCAGGGGAGACUGGAAUUCCUGGUGUAGCGGUGGAAUGCGCAGAUAUCAGGAGGAACACCGGUGGCGAAGGCGGGUCUCUGGGCAGUAACUGACGCUGAGGAGCGAAAGCGUGGGGAGCGAACAGGAUUAGAUACCCUGGUAGUCCAA
rnacentral:rRNA from 1 species